GGAAGGGCAGAGGAAAACCGCUGAGGGGAAAAUGCCGGUUAAAAAGACAGACCACCACCCCCUGCUGUCCACCGGAGCUGGGGGAGCUGAGCCUGAGCGAGGUCCUUGUAACCUGUCUGCCACAGGUUUGUUACAGAACUGGACAGUUUGACUCCUGAAGCAGACCAAUGGGACCACACAAGCCUGAGUUUCUGAACUUCGGGUAAAAGGAUGGGUUCAAAGGUGUGGAGUGGAAUCCUUGUUUCCUGAGUAGCCCUGGAAAUUAUCUCAUCGCCCUAUUUAAAAUUUAUUUGUGUUGCUUUUGUGAUCCAUACACAUAUCUCAGUGAUCAACAUAAAUAUUUUGCUGCACAUAUUUGAACUUCCAGCCAGUUUACUGGAAAAAUGUCAUCAGAGCUAAUGUCCCUGUUCCCUGAGGAAUGUAAAUUCUGCAGUUAGGUUUCUAAAGCAAAUCACAAAUGUUCAUUCUAGCCACUUCACAGAACUGUUCUGCAGGAUUUGGGUAGAAUUUACCCUGAAGCAGAAAAGCUUUUCCAUAAAAAGUUCACUGUGCUGUUUGCUGUGAAGACCAAGCAUGAUCAAGAUGGAGAAGUGGGGUUGAUGUUCUGAAAACAGUGAAUGAGAAUUUGCUGAAAAAUUACAGCAAUUUUCCUGAAACCACAGAUACCAUGGAAUCAUGGAGUGGUUUUGGUUGGAAGGGACCUUUAAGGAUCAUCAAGUUCCAACCCCCUACCAUGGGCAGGGACACCUGCUACUGUCCCAGGUUGCUCAGAGCCACAUCCAGCCUGGCCUUGGACACUUCCAGGGAUGGGGCAGUCACAGCUUCUAGAGAAUUGAUUUCCAAAUGCCAAUUGCAAUAGGCAUUGAACAAUAAAUAACAGUGACAAUAAUUGCUGUUAAUAUUAGUCCAACUAAUAUAAUUACACAGGAUAUUUUUUUUUUUUAAUUGUUUUUCAUUAUGUGAGCCACUGAUUUUUGCCUCCAGUUCAAAACUUGAUCUAAUUCCAGGAAUGCCUCAAAACAUUCACUAUAUCUUUUCUGCUGGGAAAAAAAAAAAAACUCUCAACUUACUGUUAGCUCUCUGCUCCAAAAAUAAAAUGUACAGUACGUAACAAAUUUGGUCUGACAGCAUUUUCCCAGCUGGAAGGAUGGAACUUCUUAAUUGGUGUAUAAAUAAAUAGUGGUUUGAUCCUGCUCUUAAAUAUAUAUUAAAAAAAGAAUUUUGGCCUUGCCUCUAGUAUGCAUAGGAACAGUUCUUCCUUUCUAACAGAAACAGUAAAAGAAAAGGACUCUUCACUGAGCCAAAUUUAAAAACUAAGUAUAAAGUCUAAACAUGCUGAAAUAAAGUCCUGCUGCUGCUGUUGAGGAAGGCCCAUGAAGCUCCCUGUGUCUCUUGACAUGUGGUUUCCAUACCACUUUAUUUCAUAAAUCAUCAUUUCUAAUUGCUUUAAAGUUUGACAUGAGAACCUAAAGUGUUAUUGAAUCAUCAAAUAAAUAGCUGUUUAGCAAGAAGAUGUUCCUAUGAAUUGAGGUUUACCUUGUGUUUUCAGGGUAAAGGAAGUGAUAAUUUUGAUGGGGAGUUCAUUCAGAAUAACUGUGUGGUUUUAACUUUUUCUACUUGGCAGUAAAUUGAAACUAAAUGUAGACACCAAUCUGCAAAUCCAGAAACUAGAAGAGGGGCGAGCACGUUGGUCCAAACCUAUAAAAUAUGUUAAUUUGCUCCUCAGGUGCAAUAUGAGGCAUCCUGAGGCUCUGAAAUAGUCAUUCCUAGUGUACCUGAACACUCCAGGUGCGUUGCUUGGUUGAAGUUCCCUUGGCACUGGAGUUUUUACAGUAGGAGACAUGCAGCAAAUGCCCCUAUCCUGAAGCUUCUCACCCCAGCUCAUGUCAGCUCUGAGUCCAAACCAGAAUGAUCCUCAGAAUCCAAGAGCCUGACCUUUCUGGGAUGUGUCUUCUUUUUCCUCAUAGUCAACAAUUCAUCUCGAGAAAGGAGAAGGUCUGUUUGGGGAAAAGUGGGAGAAAUCUAAAACACAUCUCCUAGCUCCUGAAAAAGGACAGCCCCAUCAAAACCAGCCAGUAAACAUCUUGCUUCCUGGCCCCAUCUGCGUGCAGCACACACACCAGAGGAUUUGAAAAGCUCUCCCUGCCAGGAUAUGAGAUAAACGUGUCAUUAGGGAACUCCCUUCUUCUGUUUCUGUGGAGCUGGCACACCUUUGAUUAAAAUACUUCAGUUUAAAGCACAGUGCACCAGUCUGGGCGUGUAAUAUUUGUACGGAGCUUAAGAUGGUCCUGCCAUAACACUUCUGUCUCCCCCAUUGUGCAAAGUUGGACCAGAAAUCUCAUGAGAAUGAGCUUACUCAUGAGAUAGCUGCUAAUUCUGGCUUCCAGUUAUGCUGUAAAUAGUAUGAGAACUGCCUUUCUAGCAGUUUUAGGGAAUUUGGCUCCCAGCCAUUGCUAGAAAAGCCCAAGCUGUGACCUAAGUAAAAAGCACGGGGGAAAGAAAAAUGUUCCAGAU